rnacentral:tRNA from 1 species
GGAUUGUGGCUCAGUGGUACAGCACUUGCCUCGCAUGCAUGAGGCCCUGGGUUUAAUCCUCAGCACCA